GGAGGCAGCAGUGAGGAAUAUUGGUCAAUGGCCGAGAGGCUGAACCAGCCAAGUCGCGUGAGGGAUGAAGGUUUAUGGAUCGUAAACCUCUUUUAUAAGGGAAUAAGUGCGGGACGUGUCCCGUUUUGUAUGUACCUUAUGAAUAAGGAUCGGCUAACUCCGUGCCAGCAGCCGCGGUAAUACGGAGGAUCCGAGCGUUAUCCGGAUUUAUUGGGUUUAAAGGGUGCGUAGGCGGCCCCUUAAGUCAGCGGUGAAAGUCUGUGGCUCAACCAUAGAAUUGCCGUUGAAACUGGGAGGCUUGAGUAUGUUUGAGGCAGGUGGAAUGCGUGGUGUAG
rnacentral:rRNA from 1 species